UGCCCUUAGGUCUGGAAUACGCUCGGGAAACUGAGUCUAAUACCGGAUAGAGGAUUACUACUGGAAGGUGUUUUCCUUUAAAGCUUCGGCGCCUAAGGAUGAGUUGGCGGCUGAUUAGAUUGUUGGUGAGGUAACGGCUCACCAAGUCUCAGAUCAGUAGGGGGAAUGAGAGUUCUAGCCCCGAGAAGGGCACUGAGAAACUGGCCCUAGCCCUAAGGGGUGCAGCAGGCGCGAAAACUUUCCAAUGCACGAAAGUGUGGGAAGGGAAUCCCAAGUGCUUCGUCAUUUAUGGCGAAGCUUUUGUUGAGUGUAAGACUCUCGACGAAUAAGUGGUGGGUAAGACGGGUGCCAGCCUCCGCGGUAAUACCCGCGCCACGAGUGGUGAUCAACUUUAUUGGGUCUAAAGCGUCCGUAGCAGGUCUUGUGUGUCUCUUGUGAAAUUGCUUCGCUUAACGGAGCAGCGCGCAAGGGAAACUACAAGACUUGAGACCGGGAGGAGAUAGGAGUAUUCCGAGGGGAGCGGUAAAAUGUGAUAAUCCUCGGAGGACUACCUGUGGCGAAGGCGCCUAUCUAGAACGGUUCUGACUGUGAGGGACGAAAGCUAGGGGAUCAAAACGGAUUAGAUACCCGAGUAGUCCUAGCUGUAAACGCUGCGAGCUGUGUGUUGCAUGAUCUUAGUGAUCGUGCAGUGCCUAAGCGAAGGUGUUAAGCUCGCCACCUGGGAAGUACGGUCGCAAGACUGAAACUUAAAAGAAUUGGCGGGAGCUCACUACAAGGAGUGAAGAGUGCGGUUUAAUUGGAUUCUACGCCGGAAAUCUCACCAGCGGCGACGGCAGGAUGAAGGUCAGAUUAAAGGUUUUACCUGACACGCCGAGAGAUGGUGCAUGGCCGACGCCAGCUCGUGCCGUGAGGUGUCACGUUAAGUCGUGCAACGAGCAAGACCCACAUCUACAUUUACCAACGGGCCGGUUUCGGUGACUGGGUACAAUGUAGAGACUGCCUGCGUAAGCAGGAGGAGGGUGUGGGCAACGUUAGGUCAGUAUGCCUCGAAUCCGCUGGGCUACACGCGCUCUGCAAUGGUAGGUACAAUAGGAUGCAACUCCGAAAGGAGAAGCAAAUCCCCCAAAGCCUAUCUUAGUCCCGAUUGAGGGCUGUAAUUCGCCCUCAUGAAGCCGGAAUUCCUAGUAAUUGGACUUCAUUACGGUCCAGUGAAUACGUCCCUGAGCUUUGCACACACUGCCCGUCAUUCCAGCCGAGCAGGGUCCAGAUGAAGUUUACUUUUUAGGUACGCUGAAUUUGGGCUCAGCAAGGAGGGACAAGUCGUCACAAGGUA
rnacentral:rRNA from 1 species